rnacentral:rRNA from 1 species
UGGGGAAUAUUGCACAAUGGGCGAAAGCCUGAUGCAGCAACGCCGCGUGAGUGAUGAAGGCCUUCGGGUUGUAAAGCUCUGUCUUUUGGGACGAUAAUGACGGUACCAAAGGAGGAAGCCACGGCUAACUACGUGCCAGCAGCCGCGGUAAUACGUAGGUGGCAAGCGUUGUCCGGAUUUACUGGGCGUAAAGGAUGCGUAGGCGGAUUUUUAAGUGAGAUGUGAAAACCCUAAGCUUAACUUGGGGACUGCAUUUCAUACUGGAAAUCUAGAGUGCGGGAGAGGAGAAUGGAAUUCCUAGUGUAGCGGUGAAAUGCGUAGAGAUUAGGAAGAACACCAGUGGCGAAGGCGAUUCUCUGGACCGUAACUGACGCUGAGGCAUGAAAGCGUGGGUAGCAAACAGGAUUAGAUACCCUGGUAGUCCACGCCGUAAACGAUGAGUGCUAGGUGUAGGAGGUAUCGACCCCUUCUGUGCCGCAGUUAACACAAUAAGUACUCCGCCUGGGAAGUACGAUCGCAAGAUUAAAACUCAAAGGAAUUGACGGGGUCAUAGCUGUUUCCU